CAUCGUUUAUGAAUAGACCUUUUUUUUUCUUUGUAAGACAACAUAUAAUAACACGAAUGAUCAAAAAGGAGGAACCUCUCUCUGUUACCGGGACAACUAUUAUUAGGUCCAGUCACUGUUCUGUAACCUUGUACUGUAAGAGUGGAGAGCUAGCACUAUCUAUAGUGUAGAAUAUCCCAGAAUAUAAGGAACUUGGAUGUGGUGAUCAACAUGCCAAGGGGAAUUGUGUCAAGCUGGCAAAAGAAGAGGAACAAUAAUGUCUGAAGCUGUCUCAGCACCCCUGUCUGCCUGCUCUGCUGACCCUGCUCUGUACAUUAGCUGCGUUGACAUCAGCUGAGAGGUUACAGCACAGCUUUUCCAACCACAGUGCUACAACCCAGCAGACUUCAUCGCUUGGCUCUAGCCUGGUGCUGCUCCAGGGCAGAGUUAAGCAAAUGUAUUUACUGGACUGAAGAAAGAAAAAUAGAGACACAAGAAACUACAGGCUCUGUAUAAGCCCAGCUGCAACAGCACUCAAGGCUUCUAAAUU